GAGAAAGUUAAUGGUACACAAAAAGAGACGAAGAUAUAUGCUACAAGAACAGAAAGACGGGUUAAACUGCCUUUUUUACGCUUACAGUUAGGACACUUUAGGAGGGAAUAAUGGGUUUCCUCUGCUCGAGUGUCCCAACAACAAAGUGAGCCGAUAGACGACAUAUUAAUAUCCUUGACUAAAACAAGGUUUAUUAUAGUCUCAAAAGAAAAAAAACGGAAAGAAUACAAUACAUUGACGUUAAAUUAUGUUAAAUGGGCAGUUAACUUACCUGAGGUCUCGAGUCACUUCUCAGGUCUUGUGACCCAAAGACACCAAUAAUUGCAGCAUUGUGUUACGCCACUGGGCAGUCCACCUGAUGCUCUCCGCGGCUGAUGUGAGACGAGAACUCGUAGCGGUCCUGGCUGCGGUGGCCACAGAUGUUGCAUUCGAAGGGUUGGCGGAAGCCGUGGCAACCCAUGUGGAUGGUGAACAUGACAUGGUCAAGGAAGAGGAUGCGACAGUGCUGGCAGUGGAAGGAGCUCACAGCCCGGCCAUCCCUGUCUAACACCUGCACAGUCCCCCUGGAAGAAAGGGGUGAGACAGGGUUCCUCUUUGCUAUGGUGGGGGGCACAGGACACGCUCUCUCCCACUCCAAGUCUUUGGCCCGCCUGGGGCUGGAAGUGGGAUGGUUGCGGGGCAGUGCUGGGGUCUGGUAGUGGAGGUGGUGGUUGUUGGAGGUACUUGUCGGGGCUGUAGCCCUUGUGCUCUGUUCUUCUGCUGUGCUCUCUGUGUCUGUAGAGUCGGGGCAGCCGUUGGGCGAGGCAGUGUGGCUGGGGGCUGAGCGUUGGUCAUCACGGCCUUCACCUACCUCAUGCCCAGCGAGGCCUAGUGACACUGCCACCAGCCCACCCCCACCACGUGCUCUGGGGCCUUGAGGAUUCACGUUGCUUUUGAUUGAGCCCAUAACCGUGCGUAGCUCCGUCAGGAAGGCAGGAUGGAGCUGAGACAGGGCAGGUGGCUCAAGGUGUUCCCCUUUACCCCUGCUGCCUUGGAGACGGGAACCAGCCAACCCAACAAGGUUCCCUGCUGUCUGAGAGCUCAUGAUGUCCCCCUCUUUCUCAGAGCCGGAGGACAAUUCAUAAGGUGCUUCAGGUAGGUCAAGGUGCAUGUGCUUUUCACCUGUGAGAAGGAAUAUCAAUAAUCACUAUUUCCCGCCUCGCGGUCGAAUGCUUUGAAUUUAUUUGAGAUUGUCAUGAUUAGCAUAUCAAUUAUUGAGGAACAGAAAAUAAAAAUGUUGUAAGGUCACAGUGACCUUUGACCUUUUUGACAACCAACAUCUAAUCGGUUCAUCCUUCAGUGGAAGUGGAUGUUAUUGUGCCAAAUAAGAAAGAAAACUUGAAUGCUUUCCUGUGAUAUUGGGUUCUUGAGAAUGGGACAAAUGGAUGUAAAGAAUGAGAAAGUGAUUGACAACACAACGCUGAUGCGGAGGCAUUAUAACAAUUAACAUCGAUUCUGACUUGUUACUGCAGGACAACUGUUGACAUUAGACAAAACAUAUCAAUAUAACUAUAUAAUGGACAUUUUAAAAAGGAUUAUGCAUGCAUAGUAUGUUAUACAGUACACUUACUAAUUCUGACAAACAUGGAUUGUCUUUAUCAAAAAUAA